rnacentral:miRNA from 1 species
UGUUUGUAUAGUGUGUGUAUAUAAUGCAGUGUGUUUGUGUAGUGUGCAUUAUAUACACACACACUAUGCAAACACACUGCAUUAUAUACACACACUACACAAAC